rnacentral:rRNA from 1 species
CCUACGGGAGGCAGCAGUGAGGAAUAUUGGUCAAUGGACGCAAGUCUGAACCAGCCAUGCCGACGUGCAGGAAGAAUGCCCUAUGGAGUUGUAAACUGCUUGUUAUUUAGGAAGAAACCCUGACGUGUCGGGGGCUGACGGUACUAAACGAAUAAGGACCGGCUAACUCCGUGCCAGCAGC